UGAGGCCUACGGGAGGCAGCAGUGAGGAAUAUUGGUCAAUGGGCGCAAGCCUGAACCAGCCAAGUCGCGUGAGGGAUGACGGUCCUAUGGGUUGUAAACCUCUUUUGUCGGAGAACAAAACCCGGGACGUGUCCCGGACUGCGUGUAUCCGAAGAAAAAGCAUCGGCUAACUCCGUGCCAGCAGCCGCGGUAAUACGGAGGAUGCGAGCGUUAUCCGGAUUUAUUGGGUUUAAAGGGUGCGCAGGCGGUCUGUUAAGUCAGCGGUCAAAGCCCGGGGCUCAACCCCGGCCCGCCGUUGAAACUGG
rnacentral:rRNA from 1 species